rnacentral:lncRNA from 1 species
GACUUGCCCAAGGACACUGCCGGGGCUUGAGUGUUGGAGGACUUGAGCCUUAGAGUGUUGAAGAUGGGAGUUUGAGAACUAGCUCUGCCAUGAGCUGUGACACAGUGGCCAUUAUCUUGUUGCGCCUUGAGUACAUUAUCCCUAAAAUGGGAUAAUUGCUCUCCUGCCUGUAUUAUGUGAUUAUUGAAGAACUGAGUGAAGAAACAGCUAUUCUAGCAAAUAUUUACUGAGCGCUUAUUUUCCAAAUGUUCUAAUCCUUCACGCAACCCAAACGCUUCUCACAGCAGUCCUGCCGAUUAGAUCAGUCAUGAACAGAGGGGAUGCCACCAUUACGAUGUGUUUCUUUAUUUGAAUGAAGACGCAAGACUGUUGUAGAAAAAGAGGCCAAAUGACUGCACUUACCUGCUAAGGACAAAGUGGGAGCCUCUAUCAUGAAGGGCACCAGAUCCAUGGAUAUUUGAAAUGGCCUUGAAAAAUAUGGGAACUGUAUGGAGCAUCUGGAAAGCAUCUGUGGAAGAAUUACAGCAAAAACUUCUACAAUUCAA